GUAGUUUAAUUGGUAAAACACUCGUUUAGCAUACAAGAGUCUUAGGUUCGAAUCCCACC
rnacentral:tRNA from 1 species